AUGGACAACCAGCAGCUCUUUGGUUCCUCCUACGUGGACACGCCUUUCUUCGCGGCCAAUGGCACGGCGCAGCGGGAGAGCCAGCCGAAGGCUCGGCGCAGGCGGCGGAGGGCCGCGAGAUGCGGCGGAGGGGAUGGUAACGGCUGGGAGAUGGACGGAGGAGGGGACCCCAAGAAGCGGCGGCUCACCGAUGAGCAGGCGGAGAUGCUGGAGCUGAGCUUCCGGGAGGAACGCAAGCUGGAGACCGGCCGGAAGGUGUAUCUGGCCGCCGAGCUCGGGCUCGACCCCAAGCAGGUCGCCGUGUGGUUCCAGUACCGCCGGGCGCGCCACAAGAGCAAGACGCUCGAGCAGGAGUUCGCCAGGCUCAAGCACGCCCACGACGCAGCCAUCCUCCACAAAUGCCACCUCGAGAACGAGGUAAGCUUGCUCAUACACACUCACACUGGCGUACAUACAAAUUCCUCUUCGUUCUUGCACAAGCUGACUGCCAGCCAGGUGCUGAGGCUGAAGGAGAAGCUGAGAGCGACUGCGGAGGAGGUGCAGCGCCUCAGGUCGGCAGCUGGGAUCCACGCCGAUGGCGGAGACUCCGCUGGCGCCGUUAGCGUGUGCGGCGGGAGCCCGCGCUCAUCCUUCUCGACGGGAACCUGCCAGCAGCAUCCGGGUUUCAGCGGGGCAGACGUGCUGGGGCGGGACGAUGACCUGAUGAUGUGCGUCCCCGAGUGGUUUUUCGCAUGA
rnacentral:rRNA from 1 species